GACGAACGCUGGCGGCGUGCUUAACACAUGCAAGUCGAACGAAAAGGCCCGGCUUUUGUUGGGUUCUCGAUUGGCGAACGGGGGAGUAACACGUGAGUAACCUGCCCUUGACUUUGGGAUAACUUCAGGAAACUGGGGCUAAUACCCUAUAUGAUCUCCUGCUGCAUGGUGUUGAUUGGAAAGUUUCGGCUGUUGGGGCUGGACUCGCGGCUUAUCAGCUUGUUUGUUUGGUAGUUGCUUACCAAGGCUUUGACGGGUAGCCGGCCUGAGAGGGUUAACGGCCACAUUGGGACUGAGGUACGGAGCAGAAUGGAACGGGACGCAAUAGUGGGAAAUAUUGCAGAAUGGCCGGAAGCGAGAUACAGAAACGCCGCGUGCGGGAUGCUGGGUUUCGGGUUGUAAACAAAUUUGGAAGGAAAUAAAGACUGAGUGACGGUAAUGAGUAAAGAAGCAACGGCUAACUACGUG
rnacentral:rRNA from 1 species